rnacentral:rRNA from 1 species
CACGUAGGGCGCAAGCGUUGUCCGGAAUUAUUGGGCGUAAAGAGCUCGUAGGCGGUCUGUUGCGUCUGCUGUGAAAACCCGGGGCUUAACCCCUGGCUUGCAGUAGAUACGGACAGACUAGAGGUAGGUAGGGGAGAAUGGAAUUCCCGGUGUAGCGGUGAAAUGCGCAGAUAUCGGGAGGAACACCGGUGGCGAAGGCGGUUCUCUGGGCCUUACCUGACGCUGAGGAGCGAAAGCGUGGGGAGCGAACAGG